GAUGAACGCUAGCGAUAGGCUUAACACAUGCAAGUCGAGGGGCAGCACAAGGUUGCUUGCUAUCUGGGUGGCGACCGGCGCACGGGUGCGUUACGCGUAUGCCACUUGCGCUAUACAGGAGGAUUACCCGUCGAAAGACGGACUAAUACUGCGUAUGCUCACAAAUUGGCAUCAUGUGGAGAGGAAAGAAGUUCGGUGAAGGAUAUGCAUGCGUCCCAUUAGCUUGUUGGUGAGGUAACGGCUCACCAAGGCAACGAUGGGGAGGGGAACAGAGGGGUUUGUCCCCCAAGCUGGUACUGAGACACGAACCAGACGCCUACGGGAGGCAGCAGUGAGGAAUAUUGGUCAAGGGGCGCGAGCCUGAACCAGCCAAGUCGCGUGAAGGAUGACUGUCUGAGGGAUAGUAAACUUCUUGUAUACGGGAAUAACAAGAGUCACGUGUGACUCCCUGCAUGUACCGUAUGAAUAAGCAUCGGCUAACUCCGUG
rnacentral:rRNA from 1 species